rnacentral:misc_RNA from 1 species
GAUGAAGAACGCAGUGAAAUGCGAUAAGUAAUGUGAAUUGCAGAAUUCAGUGAAUCAUCGAAUCUUUGAACGCACAUUGCGCCCCUUGGUAUUCCGAGGGGCAUGCCUGUUCGAGCGUCAUUAUAACCCCUCAAGCUCAGCUUGGUGUUGGGGCCUGCUGCACUGGCAGCCCUUAAAAUCAGUGGCGGCGCCAUCUGGCUCUAAGCGUAGUAAUUCUUCUCGCUAUGGAGUCCUGGUGGAUGCUUGCCAUCAACCCCCAAUUGUUCUAUGGUUGACCUCGGAUCAGGUAGGGAUACCCGCUGAACUUAAGCAUAUCAAUAAGCGGAGGA